rnacentral:rRNA from 1 species
GACGAACGCUGGCGGCAUGCCUAACACAUGCAAGUCGAACGGAAACGUCGGGUCUAGUGGCGCACGGCGGCGUGAGAACGGGGGACCAGCACUUAAGUUAGCAGUACCUGACCGAGGGAGAUGCUCAUGAAAGAGGGUGUAAUAGGGGAAAGGAGUUCUCGCUGUAGGAUGGGCGUGGGUUAGUUUCGCUGGUUGGUAGGGUACAAGCCUACCAUGGCGACGUUCCAUAGCUGGUCGGAGAGGAUGACCUGUCACACUGGGACUGAGACACGGCCCAGACUCGUACGGGAGGCAGCAGUGUGGAAUAUUGGACAAUGGGCGAAAGUCUGAUCCAGCAACGCCGCGGGAGAGAGGAAGCCCUUAGGGUUGCAAAGCUCUUUUACCCGGGAUGAUAAUGACAGUACCGGGUGAAUAAGCACCGGCUAACUCCGUG